GACGUAUUUCUUACAGCUCUGAGCAAAAAUUCAAAAUGAAUCAAAACUUUCAACAACGGAUCUCUUGGUUCUGGCAUCGAUGAAGAACGCAGCGAAAUGCGAUAAGUAAUGUGAAUUGCAGAAUUCAGUGAAUCAUCGAAUCUUUGAACGCACAUUGCGCCCGCCAGUAUUCUGGCGGGCAUGCCUGUCCGAGCGUCAUUUCAACCCUCGAACCCCUCCGGGGGAUCGGCGUUGGGGAUCGGGACCCCUCACCGGGUGCCGGCCCUGAAAUACAGUGGCGGUCUCGCCGCAGCCUCUCCUGCGCAGUAGUUUGCACAACUCGCACCGGGAGCGCGGCGCGUCCACGUCCGUAAAACACCCAACUUCUGAAAUGUUGACCUCGGAUCAGGUAGGAAUACCCGCUGAACUUAAGCAUAUCAAUAAGCGGAGGGAAAAAAAA
rnacentral:rRNA from 1 species